rnacentral:rRNA from 1 species
AGAGUUUGAUCCUGGCUCAGAACGAACGCUGGCGGCAGGCCUCAAACAUGCAAGUCUAGGGGGCGUAGCAAUACGUCACCGGCGGACGGGUGCGUAACACGUGGGAAUGUACCUAUUGGUUCGGAACAACUCAGGGAAACUUGAGCUAAUACCGAAUGUGCCCGAAAGGGGAAAGAUUUAUCGCCGAAAGAUCGGCCCGCGUCUGAUUAGCUAGUUGGUGAGGUAACGGCUCACCAAGGCGACGAUCAGUAGCUGGUCUGAGAGGAUGAUCAGCCACAUUGGGACUGAGACACGGCCCAAACUCCUACGGGAGGCAGCAGUGGGGAAUAUUGGACAAUGGGCGCAAGCCUGAUCCAGCCAUGCCGCGUGAGUGAUGAAGGCCCUAGGGUUGUAAAGCUCUUUUGUGCGGGAAGAUAAUGACGGUACCGCAAGAAUAAGCCCCGGCUAACUUCGUGCCAGCAGCCGCGGUAAUACGAAGGGGGCUAGCGUUGCUCGGAAUCACUGGGCGUAAAGGGUGCGUAGGCGGGUCUUUAAGUCAGGGGUGAAAUCCUGGAGCUCAACUCCAGAACUGCCUUUGAUACUGAGGAUCUUGAGUUCGGGAGAGGUGAGUGGAACUGCGAGUGUAGAGGUGAAAUUCGUAGAUAUUCGCAAGAACACCAGUGGCGAAGGCGGCUCACUGGCCCGAUACUGACGCUGAGGCACGAAAGCGUGGGGAGCAAACAGGAUUAGAUACCCUAGUAGUCC